AACGUAGGAGGCAAGCGUUAUCCGGAGUAACUGGGCGUAAAGGGCUCGUAGGUGGCCAACUAAGUCAGACGUGAAAUCCCUCGGCUUAACCGGGGAACUGCGUCUGAUACUGGAUGGCUUGAGUUCGGGAGAGGGAUGCGGAAUUCCAGGUGUAGCGGUGAAAUGCGUAGAUAUCUGGAGGAACACCGGUGGCGAAGGCGGCAUCCUGGACCGACACUGACGCUGAGGAGCGAAAGCCAGGGGAGCAAACGGG
rnacentral:rRNA from 1 species